UCUCUCGAUUUCUCGGAAGAGAAAGGCGGUUGUUGAGACUUGAGAGAAGCGUCACCGGCGCCGGCGAGAGCUCAGCGACGGGAGAUGCCUUCCCUCGCCGUCGUCCACGCUUCUUCACUCCGCUUGGUUCCCCACCGCCAUCGAAUCUCUCACCCCGAGAAUCACCACACCACCAGACUCAGCGUCGCUGCCUCUUCUCGUAGAUUGAGGCCCAUCUCAGCGGCCGCCUCCUUAUCUUCCGUUCAUCCUUCCGGCGCUGUGGAUUCGGAUCCCUGCGGAUUCCUCGAACGAUGCUUAUUUUCAACUGAGGCUGGAGCUAAAUCUCCAUCGUUGUCGAUUGGAUUGGUUGCGCGGCCAAUGGCGACGGUGUCGCCGGAAAUGAUGGGACAGUACGGAUCAUUUGGGGCGGUGACGCUGGAGAAGGGCAAGCUUGAUCUCUCUCAGAAGACUUCCAAGUCUAGCCCUGAGACGGCAAUUGGUGGAGGAGGAGGAGAUAAUGGGAAGAAAAUUUUUCAUGGUGGUGGUGGUGGUGAUGAUGGUGAUGAUGAUGAUGACUAUUUUGGAGACUUUGAUGAAGGGGAUGAGGGAGAAGAAGGUGGACUAUUCAGAAGGCGUAUUUUCUUACAAGAGUUUUAUGACCGACAAUUUGUUGAUGCCGUGUUGCAAGAGUGGUACAAAACUAUUACUGAUUUGCCUGCUGGAUUUCGCCAAGCUUGUGAAAUGGGUAUGGUAAGCUCUGCUCAAAUGGCCCAAUUCUUAGCAAUGAAUGCGAGGCCAACAAUGGCUAGGCUCAUUUCUCGAAGCCUACCUGAAUCCAUAUCCAGGGCUUUCAUUGGGAGAAUGCUAGCAGAUCCAUCUUUCUUGUACAAGUUACUUCUAGAGCAGGUGGCCACGAUUGGUUGUUCAGUUUGGUGGGAAUUUAAGAACAGGAAGGAGAGGAUUAAAGAGGAAUGGGAUUUGGCCCUAAUUAAUGUUCUGACUGCAGCAGCUUGCAAUGUUGCCAUCGUCUGGUCACUUGCUCCUUGCCGAUCCUAUGGAAGCACUUUCCAAUUUGACCUGCAAAACACUAUCCAAAAGCUUCCAAAUAAUAUUUUUGAAAGGAGUUAUCCUUUCCGAGAAUUUGACUUGCAGAAAAGAGUUCAAUCUUUCUUUUAUAAAGCUGCGGAGCUUUCCCUUUUUGGGUUAAUUGCUGGAUCAGUUCAAGGAACUCUGUCCAAACUGUCCUCUAGAAGAAAGGAACCGAGACCAUGCUGUAGGUUAUCCAUGACCAUGCCAUCUGUGAGGACAAAUGCUCUUGGCUCUGGAUCUUUCCUGGGAAUAUACACAAAUUUUCGAUAUCAGCUUUUAUAUGGGAUAGAUAGAGCUCUGUUAGAUUACUUUGAUGUUCUUGGAGUGGCGAUCUUUUUUGGCUUUGCGUUAAGGAUUCUGAAUGUUCAGGUGGGGGAAACAUCCAAAGUAGCUUGGCUUGGGGUGGAAGCCAACCCUCUAAUUCAGUCAGAGGAUCACUCGAAAUUUUACAGCAGACCUUCAGAAGCUUUAGACACACCAUCCUCCAAAUGGUUCAUAUCCAAGAACACCAUCAUCUCCGGUCUUGGACGUCUUGGUAUCAGGAAGGACAGCAAGGACCUGAACAGUUCUACGUCAAAGGCUCGGAGGAAGAGAAUUGUCAGAACAAAGGUUAGCGAAAGCUCAGUUUAGGAUUUACUCUCCCACCAAUGGGAACAAUUUUGUUUGCGAGGAAAUCAUCAUUGAGCUGAUUACUUAUAACACAAUUAAAAGCCAAACAUUCUUGAAGGGCCCCUGACCAUUGUGGAAUAAAAACACCUACAAGGCUGAAUAGAAUCUAGCUGUGAAGAAGCCAUGAGAGCAUAAUGCUUUGUUUACUACUUCCUUCCAAAUUUGCUGCUUUUGUGGAUUCUCUUUACAAUGCUAAAUGCUUGUGUUGCUGUGCCUCUGUUACUUUGUGAUACAAAUGUUAUACUUUUAUUUAUUUAUUUAUUUAUUUAUUUUCCUUC